GAUGAACGCUAGCGGCAGGCUUAACACAUGCAAGUCGAGGGGCAGCAUGAAGGUUAGCAAUAACCUUUGAUGGCGACCGGCGCAAGGGUGCGUAACGCGUGAGCAACUUGCCCGUUUCUGGGGAAUAACCGGUGGAAACGCCGACUAAUACCCCAUGGUAUCAGAUUGAGGCAUCUUAAUUUGAUUAAAGAAUUUCGGAAACGGAUAGGCUCGCGUGACAUUAGCUAGAUGGCGGGGUAACGGCCCACCAUGGCGACGAUCGGUAGGGGUUCUGAGAGGAAGGUCCCCCACAUUGGAACUGAGACACGGUCCAAACUCCUACGGGAGGCAGCAGUGAGGAAUAUUGGUCAAUGGGCGGAAGCCUGAACCAGCCAAGUAACGUGCAGGAUGACGGCCCUACGGGUUGUAAACUGCUUUUUUGCGGGAAUAAAGCGGCCCACGCGUGGGCCUUUGCAUGUACCGCACGAAUAAGGACCGGCUAAUUCCGUG
rnacentral:rRNA from 1 species